rnacentral:ncRNA from 2 species
GUAUUUCACUAGGGGAGUCUAACGACUGAGAUGGAACUUGAAGUUCCGGACCCUUGGAACCUGAUCUGGAUUAUACCAGCGGAGGGAAGUGGAACGGAAUCCUU